CUGGCACAAGGGAAUCUGCCACCACACAUCAGAGGCAGCCCCCGUCCAAGUCGCCGCAGGCCCCGCAGCAGCAGCCAGGCAAGUUUGCCAGGCGAGACUGGAACUGGCAAUUCUCCUGCUGCAGCCUGCCUCGUGCUGGAAUUAUAGAAGUGUGCCACCAUGAUCUGUAACGGCUGCAAAGCUAGGGCGACUAGACCUGUAACACGGACCACAUCAGCAGCAAGUUUCUUUGCUGCUUUGGUACAGAAACGAAAUACUUUCUCCAGUGCUCUCGCUUCGUGCAUUUUCAGACCAUGAGGGAAAAAGCCAUGGGCGUGAUAGAAACCUCCUAACAACCCCAUGACAAAGACAGUGACUCGCUCCAUGGAGGCCCACAGGCAGCUGUGCUCGUGAAGUGACUUGAACACCACGGCUGCCUCUGAGGGGAACUGACAUACGUCCCUGGUCACAUGUCUGCGGCUCCAUCCUCCUAGCUAGUUGAAGACAGGUGUUUAAGGACUGUCUUAAGCACUCUGAGGAACUUGCCCAAACCACCAAACCUUCACAACUCUGAACUUGCAGGCCUUGGUUGGGGCAAGACGUGCAAGGCUGCGCACCCAACUGCACCUCCGCGUAGCAGUGGGCUUCCCGGCCACAGCCCUUGACAGGACCGGAAGGCCAUGCUUUCCUCUCAGGUCACUGGCACAUGAUGCCCGCAGUGUGUCCAGUUCUGGUCCUACUGCUACCUAUGCCUUCUUUCUCGAGACAUGCACCUUUAACUGUGUUCUUCUAGCUUGUUAAUAAUGGCUGCCCUUAUUUCUUUUGCUGUCUCUGGGAGUGGGAUGUCUGACAAGCUUUCUUUGGUGACAGCUUAGUGCACUCAUUUGGGUCUGCUUUAUUUCCCACUAAUGUCACAGAUCACCUCAGGCCUGGUUUUGGAUGUUAUCUUUCCUAGUACCCUCUUUAAAUCCAAUUCAGAAAGUUUGAAAUCUCUGGCAGUAUAUUUAUUGUUUUUCUUCAUGCUGAUUUCUAAUUACACUGCACUGGGUAAAGGACUGUGAACUGUAUGGCAUCAAUCCUUGUGCCCUGAGACUUGGUGGCCUUCGUGCGUGGGCA